GGGAGCUGUAGUGCCCGAAGUAGUUGGAACGGGGCGUUUCGGGGUUCGGGAAGGCUCUUUUGCGUUUGAGCCACGACUUGAAGUCCUCGGGAGAACGUAAAGGAGGCUGCUGGAAGAUGCAGAACACAGAGGAGGAUGCAGAUGUAAAAUGCCAGAGUCAAACAUAAGGAACCCAGCACGACACAGGAUAAGAAGACAGAGUCUAUUUUCCAAAGCAGGCUGGUGUCAGAGCAGGAGAGUUUGAACAAGGGGGAGUUGUCACAAAGGAAAUGGGGGAUCUUGGAGCCACAGAAAGACAGCUCAGAGAGGAAGAGCAGCCGGUAGCUCUGCAGGCCAAAGCCGAGGACCCAAGCAGCAACAACCAGGUGGACACAGAGCUGAGGCUUCAUGAUGGCAGCGUAUUGCAAAGGUUGGCAGAUGGCAACAUAGUGGUCAAAGGACAUGACAACGAGCAGAAUGAACUCUGUGCAGCCCAGGGCAAAAUAGAAAUAGUUUUGGGCAAAGCAGCUGCUUAGUGAGAGAGCGUUCUGGCCAGAACUCAGCAUCACAAACAAUUUGAUGCUUGUGGAGGAUGUAAGCCAGAUUUCCAGGAAGGCCAGGUUGCUGAUGAAAAAGUACAUGGGGGUUUGCAGGUGGUGAUCCACACACACGAGGAAAAUGAUGGUUGCAUUCCCCAUCACUGUUGUCAGGUACAUGAGCAGGAGGACCAGAGAGGAGAAUACCUGCAGUCUUGGAUCAAGCUCUGGGAAACCCUCUAGGAUGAACUCAGUAACUGCUGUUUCAUUUUCUGGUCCCAUGCUGAAAUCCAGCUCAUCCUGCUGAGACAGGAACAUGGCAAAAACAAGUGGGAUAAUUUCACAGUCUGGACAAACAUUUCUAUCCCUCUUUCUCUGCUUCUUUCUUUUCCUGUAGUCUUGCUAUAGAGCGCAGAGGUCGUGCUUCAAACAAUUCUCACACCCUGAUUGUUCAGUUUCCCACUUCAGGAAGAGACCCCAGGGAUUUUAUUGUGUUCUUUCUACCUUUUCCAAACACCCCCGAAGAAUUCUUUCCCCAGACAGAGCAUUCUAAAGAGCUAUUGGCUAUUUCCCCCCAUUCCUGGGAAAUUCCUGGCUCACUCAGACCUACUGCAAAAUCUGUCACACCCAUGUGCCAAACACCUCUCACCUACAGCACAAACACUAAACUGUGAAAUUACAUCCAAUCUGUGCAUUGAACGUCCUUGUUUCUACUUUUCAGUACUUGCCUUUGGAGUCGCUGAGGAUCUGUUGAUUCCAAAAUAAGCAAUCCCAAGUAUCUCUUUUGCAAUCCUCUGCUUUCUUCCACAGCUUUUCCCUCUCUGGGUCUUCAGGAAAGGAAUGGGGAGGGCAGAAUAGGGACCAAGUAUAGCUUGGUUUUUUAGUACUCUAAAUGAGGACUGGAAUUUAUUAUGGAUCCACACAGAGUGUCACAAUCUGAGCUGUCACCUGUCUGCACCAAAAUGCACCUGUUCCCAUGCAGUCCUUCAUUGCUGUUGCUAUCAAAUAACCCGAGUGCAGAGCAAGAGAAAAGUGCCAGGAAGAGAUCUGUAACUUUUGUUUUGUGUGCCAGUUGGGAGCAGCCAGCCUCCAAAUGUUCUCUUGUCUCCACUGGCUACAGAGGGAGCCUUGAGAAAACAAAUUCUCCUGGGUGUCAGCAGGGGAGUAGGUGAAACUUACUUUUCAAGUCUCAAAACCCCUUACUCUCAAAUCCCUGAUUAAUGAAGUAAUUAAGUUACUCUGUUUUGAAACCAAAAUACACAGCUAAGAAAAGAUACAUGAGAAAAAGAUAUGCAAUUAAAACUGGUAUUUUCCCUUUCAGGUUUUUUUUUUUUGUUUGUUUGCUUUUAGACAUGGAGAAGAGCGAAGCAGAUGACUUUGAAAAUAGGAAUUUUUAAAAUGCCUGGGGAGAAGAGGAGAGGGAGGGUCUGAAGCAGUGAAACAAAGCUCCGUUGAUGUGCAACCAGAGCACUGAAGUCACCGGUCCCCUGGGUGGCCCAAGGACUCUCCCACCUCAUUGUCCACACAGAGCAGAGGAGAGACUGGUCUGAGACAGGCCAUCAACUUGAAACCAAGUGACUGAGUUCAGUCGAGAGCCCUCCAAAUGAACCAACUCCAAAAUGAGCAAAAAUGAGUCACAUUCGAAAUUAAGUGUGGGACUGAAAUGUUUGGGAGCUUUCCAGGUGGGGACUCGGGGCAGCCCUAGAGAUGAGCAGAUCCUGCUGUGCCCAGGCCGAUUCUUGUGCAAAAAUGCAGUGAUCACCACCCUGGGUGGAGGCUCUGACUGCUUCAGAGACCCCUGCAGCACCUUCUGCUGCACAGCUGAGCAAAUUACAAUUACUUAAAUUGAAAUUUAAAACUUAAUUGUAAUUAAAACUGAGAAAAUUACAAUUAUUUAAGAUGCUUCCACACUCCAGAGACCACAGGCAGGUGGAUUAACAGAAGCAAUCAGAACAGCUUUAAGUGAAGCCACAUUUCAUGCAGUUGAAGGCUCUGUUGCAAGGGACACUCUUCCAAUGUGAGUUAUUCCAUAAUUCAGUUUCCCUGUGUUGGGAAGGGUGAAAGUUUGACAAGAAAGUCUCACAGAUACAGAUGGUUAGCAGAAAGAUUUUUAAAUGUAGAACCUGAAGAGGGAAUAGAGAUGGAAGCAAGUUUUGAUAUAGAAGAAUUGCUGAGUCUUACUGGAUAACCAAGGAGGCAAAGGGUAUGUUAGUUAGAAGGGGUUUUUAUGACUCAGAGCAAAGGAUAAACCCACCUCAAACCAGAAGAUGUUUUUACCAAGCAGAAAGAUUCCACAGACAAACAAGUCAGCAGAUAUUGCAAGUAGAAAAAAAGGUCUCCGAAUUUUCCACUGCAAGAAAACUGAAAACCAACUUCUAGCUUAAAUUGUAACAUCCUAACUUUUAGUGAUUGGAGAAUAGCACCAUGAAUAUGGUAAAUCAGUAGUUAUGAAAAGCUACAGAUAAAAGUUAAGGUAUAGAUUGGUUCUGCUGUAUUAAGAUGCUCAGCAAAGAAAAGUAUAUAAUGCAUUGUAACCUAAACUGAGGGUCUCCAGGCCUGCCUGAAGCUGGAGCUGACAGCUGAGGGCACAGGCUCUGUCACCUAAGACCCCAGGCUGCUGUAACCUCUUGGAUGGAAUAAACUGCAUUUUGUAGAGCUGCUGGAUUCCCACAUCUCUCCUUCAGGCUCUAACAAUGGCGCCCAACAUGCGGCACCAUCAGUCAGAGCCUGAAUGAGGGACACAGGUCUCCAGGCCUGCCUGCAGCUGGAGCUGACACAGCUGACACCUGCAUGCACAGGCUCUGUCACCCACAACCCUGGACUGCUGUAAUGUCUUGGAUGUAACAAACUGCAUUUUGGAGAGCUGCCUGGAGUCCUGCAUCUCUCAUUCAGGCUCUUACCAUGAGUUCUGUUCCAGGUAUAGUGGAUCGGAGUCGUGGCACUGGAGGUUUUGAAUCUACAGGACCACCUCAGGUUCUUUGGACUCAGAAGGUGACAGAUGAGUGUCUGGUAAUUCAAUGUUUGGUCACUGCUAAGGGAUGUCAUCCAGAAACUACAGCUAGAUCAGGUUUACUUGGCACAGGAGCAGAUGUAACUAUAAUUUCACAGCUUGUUUGGCCUCACUCAAUCAACCUUUGGAGGUGUUGGGUUAGAUGGGUAAACUGCUGGUGCUUUAUCUGCUAUUAUGAUCACUGUACCACAUCCGGAAGGCCAACAAGCUAACAUCAGACCUUGUGUUACUAAUGCUGAGUCUAAUUUAUGGGGACGUGAUUGCUUAACCCAAAGGGAUGUUAAAAUUACCGCGGAUUUUUAGUGGGGGCCACUGGGAUGCAGGGCCUUAAACGUCCGGCUGUGUCCUUGACAUGGCUGACAGAUGAGCCUGUCUGGAUUGGUCAGUGACCCCUGCCCCCUGAAAAGCUUCUUGCCCUGCGAGGCUUAGUGAAAGAACAAUUACUAGCUGGACAUAUUGAAAACUCAUUUAGCCCAUGGAAUACACCUGUAUUUGUAAUAAAAAAGAAAUCAAAAAAGUGGAGACUUCUGCACGAUUUGUGGCGCAUAAACACUGUGAUGGCUGCAAUGGGUGCUCUACAGUCAGGUCUCCCAACACCAAACUUUCUGCGUCCUUUACGUGACUUACAAGUCUCUCCUAUAUUCUACCAUUUUCUGUCUUUGAAUUCAAAACAGCCGAACUUCAAGAAAAGCAUUAAGGUAUGGGUGAAAGAUUUAAUCAGGGGAAAGUGGUCUGGCCCAGUGGAAUUAGUAACAUGGGGAAGAGGAUACGCGUGUGUUUUAACAGAAAAUGGCCCUCAAUGGGUCUCUGCCCGUUGUGUCAAACCUUGUUUGGAGCACACAGAAAAGGACAGGAUGGGUGGUUCUACAGUGGAAGCAAAAUGAGUAGGUAAUUGCAUUGGUUAUUAGGUGGAUGGAAGCAUGGACCCUCAAGGAAUGUGUGGUAAAGAUGGUAAUUCAAGACAGAGUAAAGGGAGUUAUAAGCUUACCCUGAAAAUCCAAAAUUUAAGUUAGUGGAUGUUACUUUUGCUUCUUUUCCUUGAAUUCUCUUAGAGAGGUUGGUAGUACUGAGAAAUGUGUCGUGUACCAUUUCCUUUUGCAGGGCACCGACAGUCCCAAAAUAGGGGGAUUUGAUGUACCUAAGGGAGAAGUGUUGCCUUUGUACAGGGGUUGAAUUAGUAGCUGAAGUCCACAUUUUGAGCAACUAGGUUAGUUGCCCAUUAUGAGAGCAGCAGCCAGUUGUAAAGUUAAGUGGAUGCUACUGAGUUCUGAGUGGUGACUAGGCAGAUGACUUGGUCUCUGACUCUGUGUGGAGAAAGUUAUUGGAUUAGAGGUGAAGGUGUCAUUCUGCUAGAAAUGUGUCAUUGGGAAAUUGUGAGGUCUGUAACGGUAUUUGAAGAUUUUUUUUUUGUGCCUUGUUUGUAUAUGAACAUUAAGAUUGUGAGGGUGUGUGUUGUGGAGUUGGUAGAAGUUGGUUAUCUGUUAGUGAAUGAAGAAUGGAUCCUCUGUCUGCUUGGAUUUUUGCAAGGGCCCUGCAGAAGUCCUUAGAAGUUGUAUUUGUGUGUCAAAUACAAAAAGGGGGAAUUGUAGGAAAGACAUUCUGUACUGUUCUUGUGAGCUAGCAAAGGCCUCCUGAAUAUAAAGGGAAGCCCCAUAUCUCUCCUGAGGAAGACACCAAGGUUAUCACGAUGGAGAUGUGAUGAAGGAGAGAAAGUUAAGAGAUACAGACCCUAGCUGGCUCACAGAGUGACGUGGCUCCCUGAUCACCUACUGAGAAUUUUGUUUCUCUCUUAUAACCAAUGGGCAGUGAAUGUGUAUGUUGAGUGAAUGUAAAUAUCUUGAAAAACUAUAAAAACAGCAUGUUGCUAUAAUAAAUCUCUCUUGCACCCUUCU